UGCAGUCGAACGGUAACAGGAAGCAGCUUGCUUCUUUGCUGACGAGUGGCGGACGGGUGAGUAAUGUCUGGGAAACUGCCUGAUGGAGGGGGAUAACUACUGGAAACGGUAGCUAAUACCGCAUAACGUCGCAAGACCAAAGAGGGGGACCUUCGGGCCUCUUGCCAUCGGAUGUGCCCAGAUGGGAUUAGCUAGUAGGUGGGGUAACGGCUCACCUAGGCGACGAUCCCUAGCUGGUCUGAGAGGAUGACCAGCCACACUGGAACUGAGACACGGUCCAGACUCCUACGGGAGGCAGCAGUGGGGAAUAUUGCACAAUGGGCGCAAGCCUGAUGCAGCCAUGCCGCGUGUAUGAAGAAGGCCUUCGGGUUGUAAAGUACUUUCAGCGGGGAGGAAGGGAGUAAAGUUAAUACCUUUGCUCAUUGACGUUACCCGCAGAAGAAGCACCGGCUAACUCCGUGCCAGCAGCCGCGGUAAUACGGAGGGUGCAAGCGUUAAUCGGAAUUACUGGGCGUAAAGCGCACGCAGGCGGUUUGUUAAGUCAGAUGUGAAAUCCCCGGGCUCAACCUGGGAACUGCAUCUGAUACUGGCAAGCUUGAGUCUCGUAGAGGGGGGUAGAAUUCCAGGUGUAGCGGUGAAAUGCGUAGAGAUCUGGAGGAAUACCGGUGGCGAAGGCGGCCCCCUGGACGAAGACUGACGCUCAGGUGCGAAAGCGUGGGGGAGCAAACAGGAUUAGAUACCCUGGUAGUCCACGCCGUAAACGAUGUCGACUUGGAGGUUGUGCCCUUGAGGCGUGGCUUCCGGGAGCUAACGCGUUAAGUCGACCGCCUGGGGAGUACGGGCCGCAAGGUUAAAACUCAAUGAAUUGACGGGGGCCCGCACAAGCGG
rnacentral:rRNA from 1 species